rnacentral:lncRNA from 1 species
UCAGUUCAAUUUCAAUAUUUACAUGUAGAUUAUUCUAAUGAAUUUGUCAAAUGUCAGAUGCAAUAUCUUUUUAAAUGUGGUAGGAAUAACAAUGAGACAACUCUCCAUGAAGUGUUGAACACAGUGUAGUCAAAAUAAGCAGUUAUAGGUUAUAAUACAGCCUUCAUAACAAAGGCUUGAGUCACAUUGGACAGUAUCCUACUAAGGGCACCAAAACACUGUUAUAAAAAAAACAUUAAAUAUAA